UACGUAGGUGGCAAGCGUUGUCCGGAUUUACUGGGCGUAAAGAGCGCGCAGGCGGUCGUUCAAGUCGCGUGUGAAAGCCCCCGGCUCAACUGGGGAGGGUCACGCGAUACUGAUCGACUCGAAGGCAGGAGAGGGAAGUGGAAUUCCCGGUGUAGUGGUGAAAUGCGUAGAUAUUGGGAGGAACACCGGUGGCGAAGGCGGCUACCUGGACCGGUACUGACGCUGAGGCGCGAAAGCUAGGGUAGCAAACAGG
rnacentral:rRNA from 1 species